GAUGAACGCUAGCGGCAUGCCUAAGGUAUGCAAGUCGUGCGCAAAACCACUUUCGGGUGGUGGAAAGCGGCGGACGGGUGAGUAACGCGUAGAAACAUACCCCAGAGUGAGGGAUAAUUCCGGGAAACCGGGACUAAUACCGCAUAUUGUCUAAGGACAAAAGAUUUAUCGCUUUGGGAAUGGUCUGCGUCCGAUUAGCUUGUUGGUGAGGUAAAGGCUCACCAAGGCUAUGAUCGGUAGCUGGUUUGAGAGGAUGAUCAGCCACACUGGAACUGAGACACGGUCCAGACCCCUACGGGGGGCAGCAACUAGGAAUCUUCCACAAUGGACGAAAGUCUGAUGGAGCAAUGCCGCGUGCAGGAUGAAGGACUUCGGUUCGUAAACUGCUUUUAUAUGUGAAGAAUAUGACGGUAGCAUAUGAAUAAGGAUCGGCUAACUACGUGCCAGCAGCCGCGGUCACACGUAGGAUCCAAGCGUUAUCCGGAUUUAUUGGGCGUAAAGAGUUGCGUAGGCGGUAUAGUAAGCGAAUAGUGAAAUAGUGUGGCUCAACCAUACGAACAUUACUCGAACUGCUAAACUAGAGAGCGGAAGAGGUAGCUGGAAUUAUUAGUGGAGGAGUAAUAUCCGUAGAUAUUAGUAAGAACACCAAUGGCGAAGGCAGGCUACUGGUCCGUUUCUGACGCUCAGGCACGAAAGCGUAGGUAGCAAACAGGAUUAGAUACCCUGGUAGUCUACGCCGUAAACGAUGGAUACUAGCAUUCGGAGGUGUCGACCCCUUCGGUAGCGAAGCUAACGCGUUAAGUAUCCCGCCUGUGUAGUACGAGCGCAAGCUUAAAACAUAAAGGAAUUGACGGGGACCCGCACAAGCGGUGGAGCGUGUUCUUUAAUUCGAGGCUAAGCGAAGAACCUUACCAGGGCUUGAAAUCCUGCGAAAGUUUGCGAAAGCAGACCGUGCCUUCGGGAACGCAGUGACAGGUGCUGCAUGGCCGUCGUCAGCUCGUGUCGUGAGAUGUUGGGUUAAGUCCCGCAACGAGCGCAACCCCUGUACUUAGUUGUAUUUUUCUAGGUAGACUGCCUCGGUAACGGGGAGGAAGGAGGGGACGAUGUCUGGUCUUUAUUGCCCUUAUGUCCUGGGCUAGAAACGCGCUACAAUGGCCGGUACAAAGAGUUUAAGCGAAGUCGCGAGACGGAGCAAAUCUCAUCAAAGCCGGUCCCAGUUCGGAUAGCAGGCUGAAACUCGCCUGCUUGAAGUCGGAAUCGCUAGUAACCGCAGGUCAGCAUACUACGGUGAAUACGUUCCCGGGUCUUGUACACACUGCCCGUCAAGCCAUGGGAGUCACCAAUACCCGAAGUCUCACAUUCGUGGGCCUAAGGUAGGGGGGAUGACUGGGGUU
rnacentral:rRNA from 1 species